rnacentral:rRNA from 1 species
GAGUAACGCGUAGACAACCUGCCGUAAAGAUGGGGACAACAGUUCGAAAGGACUGCUAAUACCGAAUGUUGUAGAGUUUCCGCAUGGGAAUCCUACUAAAGGUGGCCUCUACUUGUAAGCUAUCGCUUUACGAUGGGUCUGCGUCUGAUUAGCUAGUUGGUGGGGUAACGGCCUACCAAGGCGACGAUCAGUAGCCGGUCUGAGAGGAUGAACGGCCACAUUGGAACUGAGACACGGUCCAGACUCCUACGGGAGGCAGCAGUGGGGAAUCUUCCGCAAUGGGCGCAAGCCUGACGGAGCAACGCCGCGUGAGUGAAGAAGGGUUUCGACUCGUAAAGCUCUGUUGUCGGGGACGAAUGUGGAGAUGGUGAAUAACCGUUUUCAAUGACGGUACCUGACGAGGAAGCCACGGCUAACUACGUGCCAGCAGCCGCGGUAAUACGUAGGUGGCGAGCGUUGUCCGGAAUUAUUGGGCGUAAAGGGAGCGCAGGCGGGAAGGUAAGUCUAUCUUAAAAGUGCGGGGCUCAACCCCGUGAGGGGAUGGAAACUAUCUUUCUUGAGUGCAGGAGAGGAAAGCGGAAUUCCUAGUGUAGCGGUGAAAUGCGUAGAUAUUAGGAGGAACACCAGUGGCGAAGGCGGCUUUCUGGACUGUAACUGACGCUGAGGCUCGAAAGCGUGGGGAGCGAACAGGAUUAGAUACCCUGGUAGUCCACGCCGUAAACGAUGAAUGCUAGGUGUAGGAGGUAUCGAUCCCUUCUGUGCCGGAG